rnacentral:rRNA from 1 species
UGCUUCGGAAUCUGCCCUUCAGUGGGGAAUAACCAGUCGAAAGACUGGCUAAUACCGCAUACGAACUGAGGUUGAAAGCAGGGGAUCGCAAGACCUUGCGCUGAUGGAUGAGCCGAAGUCGGAUUAGCUUGUUGGUGGGGUAAUGGCCUACCAAGGCGACGAUCCGUAGCUGGUCUGAGAGGACGACCAGCCACACUGGGACUGAGACACGGCCCAG